rnacentral:rRNA from 1 species
GACGAACGCUGGCGGCGUGCUUAACACAUGCAAGUCGAGCGAGGCCCCACCCUCGGGUGGGUGUCCUAGCGGCGAACGGGUGAAUAACACGUGGGCAACCUGCCCUCAGCACUGGGAUAACCCCGGGGGAACCGGGGCUAAUACCGGAUACGACUACAGGCGGCAUCUUCUUGUGGUGGAAAGAUUUAUCGGCUGAGGAUGGGCCCGCCGGCCUAUCAGCUUGUUGGUGGGGUAACGUGCCUACCAAGGCAACGACGGGUAGCCGGCCUGAGAGGGCGACCGGCCACACUGGGACUGAGACACGGCCCAGACUCCUACGGGAGGCAGCAGUGGGGAAGUAUUGCGCAAUGGGCGAAAGCCUGACGCAGCGACGCCGCGUGAGGGAUGACGGCCUUC